AGAAGAGAAAUAUUUAUAAGGUUUAGCUCCAGUAUCACAGGCAGAGCAAUGGAGGAUAGAUUUGGAGCUGCAAGGCAAUAAACUGGUAACUGAACAAAGCUUUGUGAGAUCGGAGGUAACUGCUAUUGAAGAGAUGCUUCAGGCCCUGGUCAACACAACGAAAGACAGUGAACAGAAAUCGCCAUUUGAUGUGAAGAGAGUGACUGUAAAGGAAGAAGAGAAGAAGACACAAGAAAAGUUGCUCCAAACUAGUUCUUCCCAUAAAAUCUCUGCCCUGGCCAGUUGCAGUGGCUCACACCUGUAACCUCAGCACUUUGAGAGGCCGAGACCAGUCCAAGAAGAAGAUUGGAUAUAAGAGACACUUGAUAAUUUCAAAAUCCUAGGCCCACUUCCUGAGCUGAGCAAGCAUGCAACCUCAAAGAGAAAAGUUUGAGGAAAUCACCUCAGGACAAAAAAUUGCAAUGUAAAGAGAAUUAUUUAUCUCCAAAUUCCAGAUUAUCCGCCUGCCCAACCCCUGCCAGCAGCACCGUCCACAUGGUGUCUCAUUUAGUUUUGAGUUAGUUUAACAAAGUAGACUCUGCAGUCUGGAUAAAAUAGUAAAGUCACCUCAGCUUGAUAAAAUGGAAGAUGCUCAAUAACAGUUCAGUUUCUUGUCCCUGGAGAAGUGGUGCAUGAAUUGUAGCCUGGGUAUUUUGUCUAAGAGAGAAUUUGCUGAUUUUUGAAGCCAUCUAAUAAUUGGAGUAUGUACUAAACAGAUAGGAAUUUAUUUUGUGAGAAAUUUUAUUGAACAGGUACAUGAUAAUAGAAAUAAUGUUUGUAAGUUUAGAAGUUAGAAUAAAUUAACCCUACUUUCAAUAAGCAAAUUAUAUGAGUGAGAUGGAUAUUUUCUUACAUUCAUUUCUUCAUUGUUGUUUUGAUCAAGUCUCAAAGGAUGAUUAAAUCUGUUGAAUUUUAUCAAAUUUAUCAUUUAUCUGAAAGAUGACCUUUUCUAAACUACGUAGUACACUUAAUCCAUUAUAUGAAUGUGCACCAUUCCAGGAGGAGAGGAUUUCCACUUUUCUAAUAUUACACUUCUUGUAAUCAAUGCUGUUCUCAGGAGGAUUUUUGUUUCAUGGACUAGAUGUUCUUUGUAAAUUCUCAACAUGACCUAAUAUAAAAAUCAAUACAUCUUUAGGUAAGUUCAUUUCUAUUAUUAGAUCUGGCUGUAGCUUCACGCUAACGUGUUUCGAAAUAUAAGCAGCUCCCUACCACAGGGCAAGGCUUUUUCCUGGUAAUGUAUUAAGUUUCAUUAUGGUAGAAACCAUUACAACAACAAUAAAAUCCACUACAGUCUCCCAGCUCUAGCAGAUUGCCAGCAAUGUGUGUGCUUUAAUGUUCUCAUUACAAUAUUUAUCUUGAUUAAGGCAAAAAUGCUUUUGUCCAGGCCAUAUCUCUAUUAGUGAUCUCUCCCCACAACAACAGAACACGGGGUGCCUGGCUUAGCAAGGACUGAAGGAAGCACUUUACCGUGACACCUGAGUGAGGACAGACAGAUAAACGACUGGGAGCUUAGAGCAGAAGGAAGGAAAGCCAUGCACCCAGCCCUAGUUACAAGAUAGAUUAGCAUGAACAAUGUAUUUCACAGACUAAGAAAAUGAUGAUUAAUUCUACAUUUGGCCUAUUCUUGAAGAAACUUGCCCAAAUUGAACAAAAGGUGCCAAAAGAAGCCCUGGGGACAUUUGAGGUCUGCUUUAUUUUAUUCCCUUUUUGACCACGGAGGUGAUUAAGUACACUGCGACUUGGUUUUUUUAGCCAUCAUUAGAGCAUUCCAGCACAAGGAAAAAAUUUAGAGGCUCUUUGAAGUGGUUGUAGAAAGAUUUGCAUUGAACUAUACUCCUCCUAGAAUUGAGAGUAUGUGGAAUACUUUAGUGAUUGAGGUUUCUAUUCAUCUUACUCUUCCAUCAGAGCACAACUUUUUGUAAUUCUUAUGUGUAUUUGGAUGUCUGUGGCUUUUUAUUGGUCACCCACAUUUUUCAUUAUCUAUUAAAAAUCUCAUUCAUAUUCU